UACAGGGGAUGCAAGUGUUAUCCGGAAUUAUUGGGCGUAAAGCGUCUGCAGGUUGAUAUUUAAGUCUUUUGUUAAACCUUCGGGCUCAACCCGAAAUCUGCAAAAGAAACUAUGUAUCUAGAGUAUGGUAGAGGUAGAGGGAAUUUCCAGUGGAGCGGUGAAAUGCGUAGAUAUUGGAAAGAACACCAACAGCGAAGGCACUCUACUGGGCCAUUACUGACACUCAGAGACGAAAGCUAGGGGAGCAAACGGG
rnacentral:rRNA from 1 species